GUGGGGAAUUUUGGACAAUGGGCGCAAGCCUGAUCCAGCCAUUCCGCGUGCAGGAUGAAGGCCUUCGGGUUGUAAACUGCUUUUGUACGGAACGAAAAGCCUCUGGUUAAUACCCGGGGGUCAUGACGGUACCGUAAGAAUAAGCACCGGCUAACUACGUGCCAGCAGCCGCGGUAAUACGUAGGGUGCGAGCGUUAAUCGGAAUUACUGGGCGUAAAGCGUGCGCAGGCGGUUUUGUAAGACAGGCGUGAAAUCCCCGGGCUCAACCUGGGAAUGGCGCUGGUGACUGCAAGGCUGGAGUGCGGCAGAGGGGGAUGGAAUUCCGCGUGUAGCAGUGAAAUGCGUAGAUAUGCGGAGGAACACCGAUGGCGAAGGCAAUCCCCUGGGCCUGCACUGACGCUCAUGCACGAAAGCGUGGGGAGCAAACAGGAUUAGAUACCCUUGUAGUCC
rnacentral:rRNA from 1 species